rnacentral:misc_RNA from 1 species
UCUUUGGCGAAGGAAGAUAACUUAAGAAACUUUGUUGAGUUGCAGAAGUACAUUCAAAGUAUAAUUAAUCCAUUAAUUGGCAUCCCCAUUAUCAACAGUGUGAAGUAGUUAUGACUUAAUUAUUUAGCAGUAACAAAUUAAGCAUAUUAAACAAAUAUUAUUGUUUUGCAGCCUUUAAAUUCUUAUUGUUCUGUGGAAACAAGUGAAAUCUCAUUGAAGAGGAAAAGGGAAUCUCAGAAUUUAGGUAAUUGUUAGAACAGUACUGCCAAUACAGCCUCAGAAUCAAAAGAAACAAUCUUGAAGAAUAUGGAAGAAUCUUACAAUAAUCUCCGUAACAUGAACCCAAGGAAGGAACUACCAAAAUAUGUGAUGCAGAAUUGAGGAGAGCAACUGAGGAGUUCCUGAAAGAGUCCUAUGAUAAUCUCCUCAAUGGGGCUUCAGAAUCAUCCAAAGGCAUUAUAAUUCUUCCCUCUGAUCUCUAUUAGCAUGUUUGUUUAUAUUACAUUCCAAUAACUGUUAAUUUUCAUCCAAAGCAUCAAUUACUAGAUGAUCCCAUCACUUUUCAGGACCUUUGAGGAAGGACCUUGAUGAGUUACUGCUGCGUACCUGGAUUAUCAAGAGAUAACAUAUGGAUAAUUUCUUCUCCAUGCUUUCCUUUUUUCCCUUUGUUAUUUUAACUCUUUGAUGCAUUACAAUAUAAUAAAGAAGUGGAUCGAGCAGUGUGGAUUAAUAAAAGUGAAGGUGUGUAACUGAAUCAGUAAAAGUUUGUGCCUUUUAAUAACUUAAUUCACAAAUAAUUAGUCAAAUGGUUCAUCGAAUGCAUGUCCAAGACAAGACAUUAUUCAGACCACUCUACCUUACCUUCUCAACAGUGAAUCAUUGAUGUAUAUAGUCGAGCAUCUUGGAUCUUCAGCAAAGGAUUUGCAAGAUAUUGGCAUUAAUCCCAAGAUCAGCACCAAUUUGAUGGUACUCCUUCAGAGCCGCUUCCAUCUCCGCUUCAACAGUGGCAUCAUCUAUGACAUCUAUCAUGUUCAUGCGAACAAUGUUGGCAUAGUGCUCCUCCCUGUCCAGAUCAUGCUGGAAGGGUUCCAUUGCUGAGCCCUGACAUAAUUCGGCAUAAUGUUUGUAAAUUUCGCUGUCUUCAUUUUGAUCUCCAAGUAAUGUACCGCCAUACCAACCACUGGCUUCAUCAACUGAGGUCAUUGCAAGGUACCUUUGGAAGAUAUCUUGUUCAUUCAUGUCAACAACGGAAGAAAGCCAAUCCAAGUCACGGUAACCAUCAACUCUAAUAUCUUUGUGAGAUCCUCCAUUUUCAGCUUCUCGUUGAGCAGCCUUGGCGGCAGAACCACUUUCUUCAUACUUUCUCUGGCCAAAAAGCCAAUUUGGGCUUUUGAGCUGUAUUUCACUGCAUAAUUUAAUGGUUCAUGUUGGCAUUUGGCAAUUAGAAAAGUUACCAAGUACUACUUAGAAACAUUAUUACAAUUGAGCAAAUCUUUCUGCACAGGCAAGACCAAAUGCUUGCAAUAAAAAAAAUUAUGACAAUAAGAAAAGAGCAAAUUCUGAAGAGAAGCCAAAUUCCUGGGAAAAAAAAAAUAAGGACAUUUAAUUUGCAAGUUCUAUUCUUAAAUUUAAUUAAGUUUCCCAAUAGUAUAUAUGUCAACAGAUACAUGAUAAUAGGAAGGCAUCCAAUGACUAAAUAGCCCAAUAGAAGAGGUGGCUCCAAAAAGAAUCCGACACAACCCUUAAUGUCUUCAAGGAUGAAAACCUGAAAGAGUAAUUGAUGACAUAUUUCUUGACCCAAGCUUGGUCUAAAAAUCAAAUGUUAUCAGGUUCCUUCAUUUCAUAUGUAUUUCAAAACUGUUAUUGCCUUUCAAUACAUCCAAAUAUUCCCUUUUCCUUACCCGAUUUCAUAUCAGUCAAUUUCCUUCCCAUACCAUACCUACCAACAGGUAACAUGGAAAAGAAAGCAAACCAACAAACUUUGAGGAUGCGUGCUAUCAUCUUUAGAAUUUAGACCAAAUAGAAAAUAACCAACAACAACAAUAAAGAUUCUGAUUUGUAAGCUACAUUCAAAUAAUCAAAAAAAAGAAAGAAAAAUAUGCAGAGCAGCUAACUGGGAGGUAUAUCAAGAACAACUUGUUUAAGGAAUUGAAAACAGUAACAUGUUAGCAACUGUGUCUAAACAGGGAAGCACAUUUGAGAGAGCUUUGACAAAAUUCAGGAAACAAAAGCCAGGUUAGGAGGAAACAUUACGCUGCAUCAGGUGCAACACCAGAAUUUCCCAGCCCACCAGCUGGUCUUUGAUCAGGCUCACAACAAAGUCUUACAUUCUUUAUGGCACCACAUGUCCUCUCGAUCAAUUUAUCAAAAGAUGUCAACUUCAUGCGUGAAAAAUCUUCCCUGCAAGCUGGUACAGGAGCAAGAAUCAUUCCAACUCCUUCGGGCUUAGCACUGGUUGGAGUGCUCAGCUCAGGAUCAAGGUCUUCUUUAAUCCCAAC